CAGCACUUGGAAUCAAGCUUCUAGUCAGGAACUGACUGCUUGGAACCCCUUGCCUGAUUACUUACCUGACAUUGCUCUCGAGUACUCAUCUUCAACAUCUUAUGCUUUCAGAGAAGAUACCACAUCUGCCUGAGGAACAGAUAGAGCAAGUGAGAAGGAUACAAGGAAGCAUGUGGAGAUAAGCAUAACAGAACACGUGC
rnacentral:lncRNA from 1 species